GUCUUGGUGGCUCAGGUGGCAGAGUACUGGGCUAGGGAUUCAGUGGUCGUGAGAUCAAGUCUCACUCAAGACA